rnacentral:misc_RNA from 1 species
UUGUGGAGGAGGACGCCGAAGGUGGGGCUAAUGACUGGGGUGAAGUCGUAACAAGGUAGCCGUACCGGAAGGUGCGGCUGGAUCACCUCCUAACAGGGAGACAACAAAAUGUUUAAUAUUAUUAUUUUGUCACCUUAGGUCGAUCGGUAUCUCACGUUCUUAAUUUAUUAAGGAUUUCAUUUCCUAAGUUUUUCUAGGUCACACCCAUUAUUUUCCCUGGGCCAUUAGCUCAGGUGGUUAGAGCGCACCCCUGAUAAGGGUGAGGUCCCUGGUUCAAGUCCAGGAUGGCCCAUAUCUCUAUGUUGGGGGUAUAGCUCAGUUGGUAGAGCGCCUGCUUUGCAAGCAGGAUGUCAGCGGUUCGAGUCCGCUUACCUCCACUGAUUACCACCUCUUUCAUAAUCUGUAGAAAGGGAAUUUUUUGAGUCGUGACCAAAUUCUGAAAGAAUCUAGCUUCCUAAUGAAAUCAUUAAGAUGCUGGACUCAUUGAAUUAAUUUCAUUGUUUUCAGAGAACCUUGACAACUGCAUAGAUUAUUUUUUAAAGACAAUAAGCAUCUUUAAUGAUGCAGAUUUAUUAUUUGUGCGAAUGCAUUAAUAACAAUUCUAUUAAGCUGAUGCUUCAAUUUUUGAAGUUAUUGGUCAAGCUACAA